UACAGAGGGUGCAAGCGUUAAUCGGAAUUACUGGGCGUAAAGCGUGCGCAGACGGUUACAUAAGUCGGGUGUGAAAGCCCCGGGCUCAACCUGGGAAUUGCAUUCGAGACUGCGUAGCUAGGGUGCGGAAGAGGGAAGCGGAAUUUCCGGUGUAGCGGUGAAAUGCGUAGAUAUCGGAAGGAACACCAGUGGCGAAAGCGGCUUCCUGGUCCAGCACCGACGUUCAGGCACGAAAGCGUGGGGAGCAAACAGG
rnacentral:rRNA from 1 species